rnacentral:rRNA from 1 species
UGAGGAAUAUUGGACAAUGGGGGCAACCCUGAUCCAGCCAUGCCGCGUGAGUGAAGAAGGCCUUCGGGUUGUAAAGCUCUUUCAGUUGUGAAGAUAAUGACGGUAGCAACAGAAGAAGCCCCGGCUAAAUUCGUGCCAGCAGCCGCGGUAAUACGAAUGGGGCAAGCGUUGUUCGGAAUCACUGGGCUUAAAGCGUGCGCAGGCGGUCUUGCAAGUCAGAAGUGAAAUCCCGGGGCUUAACCCCGGAAUUGCUUUUGAAACUGCAAGACUAGAAUAUGGGAGAGGUUAGCAGAAUUCCGAGUGUAGAGGUGAAAUUCGCAGAUAUUCGGAGGAAUACCAGUGGCGAAGGCGGCUAACUGGACCAUUAUUGACGCUCAGGCACGAAAGCGUGGGGAGCAAACAGG